AUUGAACGCUGGUGGCAUGCUUUACACAUGCAAGUCGAACGGUAACAGGGUGCUUGCACCGCUGACGAGUGGCGAACGGGUGAGUAAUGCGUCGGAACGUGCCGAGUAGUGGGGGAUAACGCAGCGAAAGUUGUGCUAAUACCGCAUACGUACUGAGGUAGAAAGUGGGGGACCUUCGGGCCUCACGCUAUUCGAGCGGCCGACGUCUGAUUAGCUAGUAGGUGAGGUAAAGGCUCACCUAGGCGACGAUCAGUAGCGGGUCUGAGAGGAUGAUACGCCAAACUGGGACUGAGACACGGCCCAGACUCCUACGGGAGGCAGCAGUGGGGAAUUUUGGACAAUGGGCGAAAGCCUGAUCCAGCCAUGCCGCGUGUCUGAAGAAGGCCUUCGGGUUGUAAAGGACUUUUGUCAGGGAGGAAAUCCCUAGUGCUAAUAACACUGGGGGAUGACAGUACCUGAAGAAUAAGCACCGGCUAACUACGUGCCAGCCGCCGCCGUAA
rnacentral:rRNA from 1 species